rnacentral:lncRNA from 1 species
AAUUUCCCUACCAUGUGACUAAAUACCACAAUUUGCCAAGUGUAGAGAUUAUUGAGAGAGUGUAGAGAUUAGAGAGAUAGUGUAGAGAUUAGAGAGAGAGAGAUCAAGGCAUUAAUUGCCAAUAUUUCCUUAAGAUUACAAAAUCCUCUUUAAAGAUCACAAGAUCAUUUACAAUCUUGCAAAAUCCUCUCUCACUACUCACUCAUCAUUUUCGACCAACACCUCUCUCCCUCUUUCUCUCACUUUCCUCCAUUUUCAUCCAUUGUAGAGACCUUCGGAGCUUACCAAAAAAAAAAAAAAAAAAAAAAAAAAUUAAUACCAAACACCUCAAUUUCACUCUUAAAUCUUACAUAAAAACAUCCUAGCUAC